rnacentral:lncRNA from 1 species
UCUUUUGCCUUUUCUAGGGCCGAUCCUGCGGCAUAUGGAGGUUCCCAGGCUAGGGGUCUAAUCGGAGCUGUAGCCACCGGCCUACACCAGAGCCACAGCAACGAAGGAUCUGAGCAACUCAUGGCGACCUACACCACAACUCAUGGCAACACCUGAUCCUUAACCCACUGAGCAAGGCCAAGGAUCAAACACGCAACCUCAUGGUUCCUAUCAGAUUCAUUAACCACUUAGCCACAACGGGAACUACAACUAUACCUUUCUUUUGUUCUGUUUAAGGCCAAUGGUCUAAAGAAAGAAAGAAAAAAAGUACUUUUAAGUAGGGAUUGGUAUCAUUACAUUCCUUCCACUGCCCUUUUGUAUUUUCAUUUUUCAAUUAAACUAAGCAUCUAUGCAUAACUGCAGGGGUUUUUAGUUCUUAGAAGGUAAAGACUCAAUGCUACGGAGCAAUAGCAUACUGGCAAUAAAACUUCACAGAUUCCCUGGCCCAAGAUGGCAAUGAAGUUUCCCACACACUAACUUCCUACCCACUGUCCUCAACAGACAUCACCAGCCAACCAUGGAUAGCAUUCAUUUACUCUACAGCCAGAUGUGGCCUCAGAUUUCUUUUCAACCCAGAAGUAUAGGCAGUUAAUACCAACUGACAACAAAUGAGGUGAAAACUUUUUGUAUUCCUUGAUGUCAGCCACGUCUGAUGUUGACAUGCAAAACACCAAACUCCAGGCUGGUUAAGAUACACAGUAGUUAAGCAUGCCUCAGGACUAUAUCUGAACCCCGAACUCCUGCACCUCUGUGCUGUCUCCUCCCGCAUAUCUCCACGUUGAGGAAGAUAGAUCAGGAAAGGCAGUGGCAGAAAUGUGUUAUAAACACACUUAAAAGGGACCUCCUCCUGCAGUCAACACCUCUAACUCACCACACACGAAGGGCACUGCUGCAGGCUUAAUAAGCCAUCACUAAAUGGGAUGGGUGAAUACAUCAACAUUUCUCUUGUGUUCUUCAGUGCCUUCCCCUUUUCUUUUGGCAAGAGUUGUAUGGAACAGCGCUCCUAGUCAUUAUCAAGUCAUAAUAUUUGGGUACCAAAUGAAGUUUAGAAGGCAAUGAAAAGUUCCAUAACCCACUCCUAGAUUCAGAAAUACUGAGCAUCCUUUUAUGAGACAUCUCCUGAUUGCUGAUCCAAACAUUCCACGAGCUAAAUCCCACAGGAUAAGGACGACACACUGGUGCCGAUUUUUGCCACCUUAGACUUGUGACACCUUGAACUGAAUAUUCCCUUCUCUGGGUAACCCUGUUUCAUUUUUUAAAUGGAAAGUUUCCAAGAUCUGACCUCUAACACCCUUUCUCAUGAUGAAACUCAUCAGUUAUUCUAAAAGCAGCACCCAUUUAUUGAGAGCCUACUGUAAGCAGAGUGCGAUACUAGGUGCAAGGCAAAGUCAGCUAAUGAAACAGGAUGCUGCUCCCCAGGUCGUGUGGCUGCAAUGAGUGAGGGGUUUGUCCUGCCACUUGCCAUACUCAUGUUUGCUUUAGAGGUGGUGAAAAUAGCUGUUCAUCUUUCUCCGUCAAGCCAUCAGUCAGAGUUGCUUGGGAAAAAUUCCAAGGCUAUUUCUAACACUUUCUGCAACUCAAUAGCUUCUCUCCUCUGAACGUAAACUAAAAACAACUGCACCUCCGUGCUGUCUCCUCCCAUGUAUCUCCACACUGAGGAAGAUAAAUCAGGAAAGGCAGUGGUAGAAAUGUGUUAUAAACACACUUAAAAGGGACCUUCUCCUGAAGUCAACACCUCCAACUCACCUUCCCUUAAAGAUUCUCCAAUUCCUACACUGGAGAAAGAGAUAAGCUCCUGCCCAAUUAUCCAUGACAAGAAGCUCCUAGAAGGAGGUGUCAAUCUGCAGUCCCCAAGGAAGACAACAAUGUGAAACCACCGUGAAGAAAAGAAUCAUUACACAUCUAAUAGAUAUUUUCUUCUAAAUCGGUCAUAUAUUCUAUUGUGUUUCAUUCAUUCAACAAAUAUUUAUUGAAACCUAUUACAGGCUAAGUACUAUUCUAGGAGCAAGGUCCUUCAGCAGUGAAUAAACCAGACGGACAUCUCUAUCCUUACAGAUUUUACAUUUAUAUAGAAGAAAAAACCCGGAAAGCAGCUUCUGGGGAUAUACAUCUAUGCAUCUGCCCUUCUGUACACUCACAGGUAUUUAUCAAGUAACCAUACAUCUUGCUAGGCUCUAGGUUAAGCUGGGAGAACAACAAGAUCUUCACAUCCAAGCAUUUAGAGAUCAACAAUUCAAUACAGGAUAACUGGCUGCUACAAGCGGGGGAUGGACAAAGCACUACAGACAGAGGCAUGAAGAAUGUUCCAUAUGUUUUCAGGGAGUCCCCAAGUCCCAGCUGAACUGGCCUUUGAAGGAUGCACAGGAGCCUACCAAGUAGACUAUGGGAGGAAAGGCAUCCUGACAGGGAAUCCCAUCAGAGAGAUAGUCAUCAGAGUACAGAGGGGGUUGGAAAUUCCACGAGAAGCCCUGCAGCCUGGAGCGUGGGUGUGGUUUGGGAAAGGAUUCUGGAAAGUCAGGCUGAAGCCCCAGAGGGUUCAAUGCCAAGUCCAGGAGGUUGUCCUUGAACCAAUGGAGAAUCACAGGAUAAAACCAUUUCUGGUUAAUAUCCCAUUCCAAUAAGCUUACACUGUCUGCUCCUUAAGUAGGAUGGAAUGGUCUGACCCUCAAUAUUUUGAUCUUCCUCCAACCUCCAGACAAAUGAGGGAAAUUCUGCUAAUUCAUACCAGGAAAGGAAACGUGGGUGUGACUGGCCCAGACUGGAUGGGGCCCAACACACCCAGAGAGAU